UAGGGAAUCUUCGGCAAUGGACGAAAGUCUGACCGAGCAACGCCGCGUGAGUGAAGAAGGUUUUCGGAUCGUGAAACUCUGUUGUUAGAGAAGAACAAGGACGUUAGUAACUGAACGUCCCCUGACGGUAUCUAACCAGAAAGCCACGGCUAACUACGUGCCAGCAGCCGCGGUAAUACGUAGGUGGCAAGCGUUGUCCGGAUUUAUUGGGCGUAAAGCGAGCGCAGGCGGUUUCUUAAGUCUGAUGUGAAAGCCCCCGGCUCAACCGGGGAGGGUCAUUGGAAACUGGGUGACUUGAGUGCAGAAGAGGAGAGUGGAAUUCCAUGUGUAGCGGUGAGAUGCGUAGAUAUAUGGAGGAACACCAGUGGCGAAGGCGGCUCUCUGGUCUGUAACUGACGCUGAGGCUCGAAAGCGUGGGGAGCAAACAGG
rnacentral:rRNA from 1 species